rnacentral:rRNA from 1 species
UACGAAGGGGACUAGCGUUGUUCGGAUUUACUGGGCGUAAAGCGCGCGUAGGCGGAUCGCUAAGUCAGGGGUGAAAUCCCAGGGCUCAACCCUGGAACUGCCUUUGAUACUGACGAUCUGGAGAUCGGGAGAGGUUGGUGGAAUUCCGAGUGUAGAGGUGAAAUUCGUAGAUAUUCGGAGGAACACCAGAAGCGAAGGCGGCCAACUGGCCCGAUACUGACGCUGAGGCGCGAAAGCGUGGGGGAGCAAACAGG